GCAAGCGUUGUUCGGAAUUACUGGGCGUAAAGGGCUCGUAGGCGGCCAACUAAGUCGGACGUGAAAUCCCAGGCUCAACCUGGGAACUGCGGCUGAUACUGGAUGGCUUGAGUUUGGGAGAGGGAUGCGGAAUUCCAGGUGUAGCGGUGAAAUGCGUAGAUAUCUGGAGGAACACCGGUGGCGAAGGCGGCAUCCUGGACCAACACUGACGCUGAGUGAGCGAAAGCCAGGGGAGCAAACGGG
rnacentral:rRNA from 1 species